rnacentral:rRNA from 1 species
GAUCAUGGCUCAGGAUGAACGCUAGCUACAGGCUUAACACAUGCAAGUCGAGGGGCAGCGGGAUUGAAGCUUGCUUCAAUUGCCGGCGACCGGCGCACGGGUGAGUAACGCGUAUCCAACCUGCCUACCACUUGGGGAUAACCUUGCGAAAGUAAGACUAAUACCCAAUGACAUCCCACGAAGACAUCUGAAUGGGAUUAAAGAUUUAUCGGUGAUGGAUGGGGAUGCGU